CCCUGUUGGUGACCUGAUAUCAUCCUAUGGCCUUCAAUAGCAUCUGAUGAUGAUACCCAGAUCGACGGCUCCUCAUCUGAUUUCUCUCACUGUCUGCUGAACAAUGUCUCUGACUGGAUGGUUUCAUGACUCCAAAAACUCAACUCUCCAAGACAGAACUCCUUGUCUUUCCUCCCUCUAAAGCUACAUCUAUCUAUCUAUCUGUCCCUUCAGAUCAAUGGAGCGAUCAUAACCUCUACACAUUACCUUGGUGUGCUCUAUGACUCUGGCCUUUCA